AGUGAACGCUGGCGGUAGGCCUAACACAUGCCAGUCGAACGGCAGCACAGUAAGAGCUUGCUCUUACGGGUGGCGAGUGGCGGACGGGUGAGGAAUACAUCGGAAUCUACUUUUUCGUGGGGGAUAACGUAGGGAAACUUACGCUAAUACCGCAUACGACCUACGGGUGAAAGCAGGGGAUCUUCGGACCUUGCGCGAUUGAAUGAGCCGAUGUCGGAUUAGCUAGUUGGCGGGGUAAAGGCCCACCAAGGCGACGAUCCGUAGCUGGUCUGAGAGGAUGAUCAGCCACACUGGAACCGAGACACGGUCCAGACUCCUACGGGGGGCAGCAGUGGGGAAUAUUGGACAAUGGGCGCAAGCCUGAUCCAGCCAUACCGCGUGGGUGAAGAAGGCCUUCGGGUUGUAAAGCCCUUUUGUUGGGAAAGAAAAGCAGCAGGUUAAUACCCCGCUGUUCUGACGGUACCCAAAGAAUAAGCACCGGCUAACUUCGUG
rnacentral:rRNA from 1 species